rfam:Candidatus Daviesbacteria bacterium RIFCSPLOWO2_01_FTLL_40_24 rifcsplowo2_01_scaffold_35, whole genome shotgun sequence.
GGCCCGAUAGCUCAGCGGUAGAGCAGGAGACUUUUAAUCUCUUGGUCCUCGGUUCGAAUCCGAGUCGGGUCA